rnacentral:tRNA from 1 species
AAGGUCUUAUAUUUUAAUUAAAAAAGUUAAAUUGCAAGUUUAAAAAAGAAUAUACUUCUAAGACUUA